rnacentral:rRNA from 1 species
GUGGGGAAUAUUGCACAAUGGGGGAAACCCUGUAUGCAGCCAUGCCGCGUGUGUGAAGAAGGCCUUCGGGUUGUAAAGCACUUUCAGCGAGGAGGUAAAGGUUGGCGCCUAAUACGUGUCAACUGUGACGUUACUCGCAGAAGAAGCACCGGCUAACUCCGUGCCAGCAGCCGCGGUAAUACGGAGGGUGCAAGCGUUAAUCGGAAUUACUGGGCGUAAAGCGCACGCAGGCGGUUGGAUAAGUUAGAUGUGAAAGCCCCGGGCUCAACCUGGGAAUUGCAUUUAAAACUGUCCAGCUAGAGUCUUGUAGAGGGGGGUAGAAUUCCAGGUGUAGCGGUGAAAUGCGUAGAGAUCUGGAGGAAUACCGGUGGCGAAGGCGGCCCCCUGGACAAAGACUGACGCUCAGGUGCGAAAGCGUGGGGAGC